UACAGAGGGGGCAAGCGUUGUUCGGAAUUACUGGGCGUAAAGGGCGCGUAGGCGGCCUGCUAAGUCGAACGUGAAAUCCCUGGGCUCAACCCAGGAACUGCGUCCGAUACUGGUUGGCUUGAAUCCGGGAGAGGGAUGCGGAAUUCCAGGUGUAGCGGUGAAAUGCGUAGAUAUCAGGAGGAACACCGGUGGCGAAGGCGGGUCUCUGGGCAGUAACUGACGCUGAGGAGCGAAAGCGUGGGGGAGCGAACAGG
rnacentral:rRNA from 1 species